rnacentral:rRNA from 1 species
UACGGAAUGUGCAAACGUUAUUCGGAAUCACUGGGCUUAAAGAGUCCGUAGGCGGCUAGUUAGGUGAGGUGUGAAAUCCCUCGGCUCAACCGAGGAAUUGCGCUUCAAACCGGCAAGCUAGAGGAGGAUAGAGGUGGGCGGAACUGAUGGUGGAGCGGUGAAAUGCGCAGAUAUCGGGAGGAACACCAAUGGCGAAGGCAGCUCGCUGGGACGGUACUGACGCUGAGACGCGAAAGCGUGGGGAGCAAACAGG